rnacentral:lncRNA from 1 species
CGGUUUCCGACUCCACCAUCGGCAACGCAAUCUUCAUUUCUUCUACCAUCAACACCCUGUUUAACCUUUGUUCAGCAUAAAGCGGCCACGCUAACAUUGGAACCCCUGCACACACCGAUUCUAGCACUGAGUUCCAGCCGCAGUGAGUCACAAACCCACCAACCGAGUCGUGAUUCAACACGGCUAAUUGGGGUGCCCAUGAUUUGACUACCAGUCCCUUCUCUUUGGUCCUCUCCAAGAACCCUGGAGGAAGCAAUGAUUUCAAAUCUGGGUCGACUUUUGUGUCAAUGUUCAAGCUUUGGUUCUCUAAUGGUGGGUUCCUCACAAUCCAUAAAAAUCUCUGCCCACUCCUCUCUAAUCCAACAGCUAUUUCCUUUAAUUGUUGCACUGAAAACGAUCCCAAGCUACCAAAACAAAGAAACACUACGCUUUUACUAGGUUGAGAGUCUAACCAUUUGAUGCACUGAGGAACACCAUCACCGUCCACGGUGGUGUUAACAAUGAGAGGUCCGAUGCAGUAAAGGGGAGGCGUGGGGUAGUCCGGCAAGCAGAGUCCAUCAUUAAUCUCUUUGAAGCUCUUUGGCUCGAGAUAUUCAAAAGUGUCCACAAUAAUCCCAGUUGAACGGGGCAAGUUGGUGGCGAUGUCUAAGAAAACGUCAUACAGCUUGUUGCCUUUGAACGUUGUCGGCGGCAUAUCUGCAGAUGGAAUCGGUGGAGCACCAGGGAUAUCAAGGAGAACGUUGAGAUGUUGGAAGCUUUGAGUGAAUUUGUUACAGAGGGUGGGCAAAUAAAGUAAGCAAGCAGCGGCACCGAGGGCGGUAGGGAGGAAAGAGUAAGCUGGAAGGUUGAGAUCGGAGGCCACUUCGAAUGCUGCGCUGGUGCAGAAGAAGUCGACGAUAAUGGCGUUGAGUGUGUAGUUAUUGGAGAUGGUGAGAAGGGUGCGACGGACAUCGGGGUUUCUGAGGCGGAUGACGUCGAAGAAAAGCGGAUCUAAGUCGGUUGAGGUUGGAAGGAGGUCGACGGUGGGGAGGUAGUGGAAGGUGAUGGAAGGAGGAACGGGGGAGGGGACGGUGGAGGAAGGUUGUGAAGGAAGGGUGGCGAUGAGGAUGUGGAUAGAAAGGGAAGGGUGUUGAGUGAGGAGGAGCUUGGCGAACUCUACCAUGGGUGCCAGGUGAGUAAGCAUAGAUGCUGGGUAAAUAACUAUGGCUUCCUCCAUUGGUGAUAAUGAAAAAUGGAGAAGACACAAUGUAUACAUGGAUCAUAAAGAAAACAUUGGGAUACGGGGUUUUUAUUUUUUAAAUGUGCUAUUACUCCUUGUAAGUUCAUAAAAUUUUAGAUUUAGUGCCUCCGUUAAAAAAAUUAAAAAUUAAGAAUUAAGUUUUUUUUAUUUAAAAAUAUUAAUCUAGUCAUUAUAAUCGUAUUUAAUUUUUGUCAAAUUUAUUAUUAAACUGUCCUUAUAUGACAUGGCAUAUAAUUGACAGAAAAUAAACAUGUUAAAUUUACAAAUUUUAAUAAAUAACGGUAAUGAUUGGACUAGAUUUUUAAAUUAGAAAAAAAAUAAGAGGAUUAAAGUUUUAUCUUUUAAAAUAUACAAGCAAAGAGACUAGCAACACAUUUUAACCUUUUUUUCUGAAGUUACAACCGUAUUAACCCUUCCAUUUUGAAUAAACCAGUUUCUAAUUACACGUUUAACUUUUUAAUUAAUUUUUAAAUAAUGUAUAUUUAAUUCAUUCUUCAUAAUUAAAAUAUAUAAUAAUUUAAAUAUAAUUAUUAUUUUUAAAUAUCGUAUUAAUAGAUCAGUAAAGUUUUUAAUAAUAUUAAAAAAAUUCAAAUCAUAAUUAAAAUAUUUAUACUAUUUUUAAUAUACAAUAUAAUUUUUUUACUUCAUGUAAUCAUUAUUUAAACUAAUAACUAAUAAUUUUAUUAAAAUAUAUUAAUUAUUUCGAUAAUUUAAAUAUAUUACUAAUAAAAAAUUCUUAUUAUUAAAGUAUUUGUACAAGCACUAAAAAAUUGAUAUAUUGUAAAAUAAACUCUUCACCAUUCAAUUUUUCUUUUUAUUUUCUUAAUGGUCAAAAAAUUAAUUAUAAUAAUUUUUAAAUAAUAUAUAAUUAAUAUGUAGCAAAAAAUUUAAGUAAAAAAUAAACAAAAAAACUUUUUAAAAAUGAUUGUAAUUGUAAAAAAAAUUAUGUCAAAUUUUACUUUAAUUAUAAUUAUUUUAACUAAAUAUUUUUAAAUAAUAAAUAUAAAUUAUUUUUAUAUGUUAAUUAAAAAUAUAAAUUAUUUUUUAAAAAUAGUUAUAUGAUAUAUAAGUUUUUAAUUAAAUUUAUUCUGGUUAUAAAUAGUUAGUUUGAGUUUACUUAAUGCUUGAGUUAGUACUUGUAAAAGAAUUAAUUUGAAAAAGUAAUUUAAAAAUAUUUAGUUAAAAUAAUUAUAAUUAAAGUAAAAUUUGACAUAAUUUUUUAAAAAAAAUGAUUGUAAUAGUAAAAAAAUUAUGUCAAAUUUUACUUUAAUUAUAAUUAUUUUAACUAAAUAUUUUUAAAUUACUUUUUCAAAUUAAUUCUUUUACAAGUACUAACUCAAGCAUUAAGUAAACUCAAACUAACUAUUUAUAACCAGAAUAAAUUUAAUUAAAAACUUAUAUAUCAUAUAACGAGACUCGAAUUUAAAAUCUCAAUUUUUCAAUACUGAAACAUAAUUUAAAAUCUUCAUUAAAAUUAAAUUUUUUAUAUUUAUUUUAUUUGAUUCAUUCAUUGGUUGUUGACUUGUUUGUAUUGAUUUGAAGGUUGGUUGCAACUGUAACGAUCUUACUGAACUGACAUUGAGUGUACUUGAAGAUCGACUAUAGCACUUCACCCAACCCUUGGUUCAACAUGAGAUUAGUUGCUGAAAUGACGGUCAAGAACCCGAAUUUCAGAUACGGAACCACCAGUGUUGGGGUAAACAAGUUGGGGUGGCUUUAGGCCCAAGAGCAAGAGUUACGACAAAAAUUAAUCUCAUUAUAAGUUCUUAUCAUAUUUAUUUUUUAUUUUAAUGUCUAAACUCACCUAUAGUUCCUCUUUAAUUCUUAAAUAGGGGGAUAAAGUACUUCAAUGCAUUCGAACCCAAGCUCUUUGAAUGGCAAUAAUACUGACACCAAUCAAAUUAAAACUCAAUCGAUAAAUUAAUGCUGAACUUGAAUUCCAACCACGUAAGAAAUAAUAUGAAUUUAAGAAAUUAUAUCGGGUCAAAUUUUCUAACAUUGACAGCCCGGUCCAAGAUGAAAGGUGAAUGGUAGGAGACGAUCUACAGGAAUGGAUUGCUCCAUUUCGAUUAAUUUGCCGCAAAAAUUGGUACAAAAUAUAACUCGCUCUUAGAGAUGGGUGCUUUUAAAUCAUGGAUUUCUUGCUUUUUUAUCAUUUGCUGUGAUGUAAACUAUUCAAUCAUUUUUGUUGAAUAAUUGUAUGGAAUUAAAAAAAAAUUAAGUGUGAAAUUGAAUAUUAAUGUUAAAUUCAAGUAGCAAACGGUAUAUUAACUUUAAUAAUAAAAGUUAAUUUUUGAUGAUUUAAACUAAUUAAUAAAAAUAGACAAUGAUAGCACAUAUACAAAACUUUUUAACAACAUCGCUUCUACUUCUUUUGUAACAAAAGAUUCUUCUUUUUAUGUAAAACAUGCUCUAACUAUGAUUUCAUAUAUAGAAAAUUCAUUAAAUCUUGUUCAUUUUUUUUUUUUGUGCAUUGAGAGAUAUUAUUUCACUUUCAUCAAUUGAGUCCAAAAGUUAUGUACAGUUAAAUUAUAAAAAUCAAAUCGUAAAGGGAGUAAAACUUGGAAUUUUACCUAAAACUCGAAGCCGUCAAGAUUUGGACAUCGUUUCUGUGUAUCGGACCAACACAACAAAAAUAACAACCGGUUCGGUCCGAGUCAUUUCAGCUUCCAUGACUCGAAAAGUUUGACUAGCGCAACACGAGAGGAACCUCCCUCACUCGUCGCUACCUCGGCUGCACGUUUCAUAUCUAACGUUCGCUGCCUAACUGAGUCACUUUCUUUCGACUCAAUCAACUCUUUGACUCGCUUCUCCACCUCAGUUGAACAAACGAACCCUGUUUCCGACUCCACCAUCGGCAAUGCGAUCUUCAUUUCUUCUACCAUCAACACCCUAUUGAGCCUUUGUUCUGCAUAAAGUGGCCAGGCCAACAUUGGAACCCCUGCACGCACCGAUUCCAGCACCGAGUUCCAGCCGCAGUGAGUUAUGAAUCCACCAACCGAGUCGUGAUUCAACACGGCUGCUUGAGGUGCCCAUGAUUUGACUACCAGUCCCCUCUCUUUGGUCCUCUCCAAGAACCCUUGAGGAAGCAAUGAAUUCAAAUCUG